UCCUCACUUUGGGCCUUUUCCUGUGGAAC
rnacentral:piRNA from 1 species